rnacentral:rRNA from 1 species
ACAGAGGGCACAAGCGUUGUUCGGAAUUAUUGGGCGUAAAGCGGGUGUAGGCGGUUGGAUAAGUCGGAUGUGAAAUCCCUGGGCCCAACCCAGGAACUGCAUCCGAAACUAUUCAGCUAGAGUCUCGGAGAGGGUGGCGGAAUUCCCGGUGUAGAGGUGAAAUUCGUAGAGAUCGGGAGGAACACCAGUGGCGAAGGCGGCCACCUGGACGAUGACUGACGCUCAGACCCGAAAGCGUGGGGAGCAAACAGG